GACAGAGGGUGCAAACGUUGUUCGGAAUUACUGGGCGUAAAGCGCGCGCAGGCGGUUUUUCAAGUCAGUGGUGAAAGCCCGGAGCUCAACUCCGGAACUGCCAUUGAAACUGUGAAACUUGAGGAUGAGAGAGGUGAGUGGAAUUCCCAGUGUAGAGGUGAAAUUCGUAGAUAUUGGGAAGAACACCGGUGGCGAAGGCGGCUCACUGGCUCAUUUCUGACGCUCAGGCGCGACAGCGUGGGGAUCAAACAGG
rnacentral:rRNA from 1 species